GUUGAACGCUGGCGGCGUGCCUAAUACAUGCAAGUCGAGCGAACGGACGAGAAGCUUGCUUCUCUGAUGUUAGCGGCGGACGGGUGAGUAACACGUGGAUAACCUACCUAUAAGACUGGGAUAACUUCGGGAAACCGGAGCUAAUACCGGAUAAUAUUUUGAACCGCAUGGUUCAAAAGUGAAAGACGGUCUUGCUGUCACUUAUAGAUGGAUCCGCGCUGCAUUAGCUAGUUGGUAAGGUAACGGCUUACCAAGGCAACGAUGCAUAGCCGACCUGAGAGGGUGAUCGGCCACACUGGAACUGAGACACGGUCCAGACUCCUACGGGAGGCAGCAGUAGGGAAUCUUCCGCAAUGGGCGAAAGCCUGACGGAGCAACGCCGCGUGAGUGAUGAAGGUCUUCGGAUCGUAAAACUCUGUUAUUAGGGAAGAACAUAUGUGUAAGUAACUGUGCACAUCUUGACGGUACCUAAUCAGAAAGCCACGGCUAACUACGUGCCAGCAGCCGCGGUAAUACGUAGGUGGCAAGCGUUAUCCGGAAUUAUUGGGCGUAAAGCGCGCGUAGGCGGUUUUUUAAGUCUGAUGUGAAAGCCCACGGCUCAACCGUGGAGGGUCAUUGGAAACUGGAAAACUUGAGUGCAGAAGAGGAAAGUGGAAUUCCAUGUGUAGCGGUGAAAUGCGCAGAGAUAUGGAGGAACACCAGUGGCGAAGGCGACUUUCUGGUCUGUAACUGACGCUGAUGUGCGAAAGCGUGGGGAUCAAACAGGAUUAGAUACCCUGGUAGUCCACGCCGUAAACGAUGAGUGCUAAGUGUUAGGGGGUUUCCGCCCCUUAGUGCUGCAGCUAACGCAUUAAGCACUCCGCCUGGGGAGUACGACCGCAAGGUUGAAACUCAAAGGAAUUGACGGGGACCCGCACAAGCGGUGGAGCAUGUGGUUUAAUUCGAAGCAACGCGAAGAACCUUACCAAAUCUUGACAUCCUUUGACAACUCUAGAGAUAGAGCUUUCCCCUUCGGGGGACAAAGUGACAGGUGGUGCAUGGUUGUCGUCAGCUCGUGUCGUGAGAUGUUGGGUUAAGUCCCGCAACGAGCGCAACCCUUAAGCUUAGUUGCCAUCAUUAAGUUGGGCACUCUAAGUUGACUGCCGGUGACAAACCGGAGGAAGGUGGGGAUGACGUCAAAUCAUCAUGCCCCUUAUGAUUUGGGCUACACACGUGCUACAAUGGACAAUACAAAGGGCAGCGAAACCGUGAGGUCAAGCAAAUCCCAUAAAGUUGUUCUCAGUUCGGAUUGUAGUCUGCAACUCGACUACAUGAAGCUGGAAUCGCUAGUAAUCGUAGAUCAGCAUGCUACGGAGAAUACGUUCCCGGGUCU
rnacentral:rRNA from 1 species